UGUUAGGUGGCUGAGUAUUUAAAGCGAUAGACUGUAGAUCUAUUAACGAAGUUAAAUCUUCCCAACAA
rnacentral:tRNA from 1 species